rnacentral:rRNA from 1 species
GAUGAACGCUGGCGGCGUGCCUAAUACAUGCAAGUAGAACGCUGAAGCUUGGUGCUUGCACCGAGCGGAUGAGUUGCGAACGGGUGAGUAACGCGUAGGUAACCUGCCUCUUAGCGGGGGAUAACUAUUGGAAACGAUAGCUAAUACCGCAUAAAAGUCGAUAUCGCAUGAUAUUGAUUUGAAAGGUGCAAUUGCAUCACUAAGAGAUGGACCUGCGUUGUAUUAGCUAGUUGGUGAGGUAACGGCUCACCAAGGCGACGAUACAUAGCCGACCUGAGAGGGUGAUCGGCCACACUGGGACUGAGACACGGCCCAGACUCCUACGGGAGGCAGCAGUAGGGAAUCUUCGGCAAUGGGGGCAACCCUGACCGAGCAACGCCGCGUGAGUGAAGAAGGUUUUCGGAUCGUAAAGCUCUGUUGUAAGAGAAGAACGAGUGUGAGAGUGGAAAGUUCACACUGUGACGGUAACUUACCAGAAAGGGACGGCUAACUACGUGCCAGCAGCCGCGGUAAUACGUAGGUCCCGAGCGUUAUCCGGAUUUAUUGGGCGUAAAGCGAGCGCAGGCGGUUAGAUAAGUCUGAAGUUAAAGGCUGUGGCUUAACCAUAGUACGCUUUGGAAACUGUUUAACUUGAGUGCAGAAGGGGAGAGUGGAAUUCCAUGUGUAGCGGUGAAAUGCGUAGAUAUAUGGAGGAACACCGGUGGCGAAAGCGGCUCUCUGGUCUGUAACUGACGCUGAGGCUCGGAAGCGUGGGGAGCAAACAGG